AUUGAACGCUGGCGGCAUGCCUUACACAUGCAAGUCGAACGGCAGCACGGGAGCUUGCUCCUGGUGGCGAGUGGCGAACGGGUGAGUAAUACAUCGGAACGUACCCUGAAGUGGGGGAUAACGUAGCGAAAGUUACGCUAAUACCGCAUAUUCUGUGAGCAGGAAAGAGGGGGAUCGCAAGACCUCUUGCUUUAGGAGCGGCCGAUGUCGGAUUGGCUAGUUGGUGAGGUAAAGGCUCACCAAGGCGACGAUCCGUAGCGGGUCUGAGAGGAUGAUCCGCCACACUGGGACUGAGACACGGCCCAGACUCCUACGGGAGGCAGCAGUGGGGAAUUUUGGACAAUGGGCGCAAGCCUGAUCCAGCCAUGCCGCGUGAGUGAAGAAGGCCU
rnacentral:rRNA from 1 species